ensembl:snoRNA SNORD29 Small nucleolar RNA SNORD29
UUUCUAUGAUGACCCAAACUAGCUCACUAUGAUUGACAAUGAAAAUAUAUGAACACCUGAGAAAC